rnacentral:rRNA from 1 species
AUUGAACGCUGGCGGCAUGCUUUACACAUGCAAGUCGAACGGUAACAGGGUGCUUGCACCGCUGACGAGUGGCGAACGGGUGAGUAAUGCGUCGGAACGUGCCGAGUAGUGGGGGAUAACGCAGCGAAAGUUGUGCUAAUACCGCAUACGUACUGAGGUAGAAAGUGGGGGACCUUCGGGCCUCACGCUAUUCGAGCGGCCGACGUCUGAUUAGCUAGUAGGUGAGGUAAAGGCUCACCUAGGCGACGAUCAGUAGCGGGUCUGAGAGGAUGAUCCGCCACCCUGGGACUGAGACACGGCCCAGCCUCCUACGGGAGGCAGCAGUGGGGAAUUUUGGACAAUGGGCGAAAGCCUGAUCCAGCCAUGCCGCGUGUCUGAAGAAGGCCUUCGGGUUGUAAAGGACUUUUGUCAGGGAGGAAAUCCCUAGUGCUAAUAACACUGGGGGAUGACAGUACCUGAAGAAUAAGCACCGGCUAACUACGUGCCAGCAGCCGCCGUAA